UACAGAGGGUGCUAGCGUUGUUCGGAAUUACUGGGCGUAAAGGGCGCGUAGGCGGUUCGUUAAGUCCUGUGUGAAAUCCCCCGGCUCAACUGGGGAACUGCACAGGAAACUAGCGGGCUUGAGUUCGGGAGAGGGAAGCGGAAUUCCGGGUGUAGCGGUGAAAUGCGUAGAUAUCCGGAGGAACACCGGUGGCGAAGGCGGCUUCCUGGACCGACACUGACGCUGAGGCGCGAAAGCUAGGGGAGCAAACGGG
rnacentral:rRNA from 1 species